rnacentral:tRNA from 1 species
CACUAGAAAGCUAAUUAUUGGACAAAGCGUCGGCCUUUAAGCCAAAAGUAUGGUGAUGGCCGACCACCUCUAGUGAA